CACAAAAUCACCUGAAUGUUCUCACAUUAAAUGAUGUUUGUGCAUGAUAUUGCAAGGAAUAUAGGAUCUACUUCCAUAGGAAACCCUCAUUUGCAUCUAAACACUACUUUUCUAUUAAAUUGCUGAACUUUUAAAAACAGAUUGAGAACAAGAUGACAGAAACCAGUGUUCAGGUUUAGUAUAAAGUUAUGUGAUUUGAAAAGCCUAGAAAUAGGAAUCUAAGGGUAUUUAACCGGCUAAUUUUAAAUUGGGCAAGUCAAAGUUGUUAAAACAUCUUGUUUAGGAAUAUAACAAUAGCAUCAAUAAUAUUGAUGCUAUUCAAUUAUUCAGUAAUCUGACAGGCUGCAAGUUUCUGUAAGACUGACAUACACUUAUGUUUCUUUCAGAUCCUUCUGACCAUGAAAAAUGUGCUUCUCAUCAGAAAUUUCAUGAAAAUAAAGCAGCACUGACAACAGGAUGUCAGACUAGAGCGUUCUCUAAUUGGAGAGCCCCAGAAGUGGUUUCAUUACUCACUUUAUGACUUCAGGCAUACAGCUGUGUGAUUUGCAUUGUCUGUCUAAACAUAACAGCCUUAAUAUUCAUUCCACCUACAUUAUAAUUGCAUCUUUAGUAACAACUGCAUUAUAAAAACCUAAUAUGGACUAAACAAGACAUUUCAGAACAUAUAAGUUGAAAUAGAAUCACUGCCAGGCCCUGGCAGACAGGAACAGAAUGCACACUCACAUUACAAGUCAGUGGUAUUCUUUAACUUUCAUCAGAGUUUAACUGCCAGUAGUUUUGCCUUGCCAUAAAUCUUAAA